rnacentral:lncRNA from 1 species
GCACAAAAGUAAAAGGACAUACAGACACAUGUGCAACUUUAUCUUGAGCAAAUACUGUUUUUGAAGGUACAAAGACUCACAGGACACAGGAUUUUGUAUAUUACUGAUGGAUGCAGUGUGAAUUGUGGAUGCUGCAUACUUAAACUUGGUUGAGCCAACUUAAGCCUACUUCCAUGCGAUACUACUACAGCAGCUUUCAAGAUGAACAUUUGACAAGCCAGCUCACCGCCGACUGACACCUCCAUUUCAGCUGGCCUGACAUAUAUAGAAAGAAACUGAAUGUUUAUUCGU